rnacentral:tRNA from 1 species
AAGCCUCUAGAGAAUAUAAUUAUCUUCUCUUUUGUUUGUUUUCAAGGCAAAUUACUUUUAGUUAAGGGGCU